rnacentral:pre_miRNA from 1 species
UUCAUACUCCCUCCGUCCAAUAAAGGAUGUCUUAAGUUUGACACAAAAUACAUUCAAAUUUUGAUAAACUUGAGACAUCUUUUGUUGGACGGAGGGAGUAAUAU